rnacentral:tRNA from 1 species
GAGGGUAUAGCUCAGUGGUAGAGUGCCUGCUUAGCAUGCAUAAGGUCCUGGGUUCAAUCCCCACUGCCUCCA